rnacentral:rRNA from 1 species
GGUUAAGCGACUAAGCGUACACGGUGGAUGCCCUGGCAGUCAGAGGCGAUGAAGGACGUGCUAAUCUGCGAUAAGCGUCGGUAAGGUGAUAUGAACCGUUAUAACCGGCGAUUUCCGAAUGGGGAAACCCAGUGUGAUUCGUCACACUAUCAUUAACUGAAUCCAUAGGUUAAUGAGGCGAACCGGGGGAACUGAAACAUCUAAGUACCCCGAGGAAAAGAAAUCAACCGAGAUUCCCCCAGUAGCGGCGAGCGAACGGGGAGCAGCCCAGAGCCUGAAUCAGUGUGUGUGUUAGUGGAAGCGUCUGGAAAGGCGUGCGAUACAGGGUGACAGCCCCGUACACAAAAAUGCACAUACUGUGAGCUCGAUGAGUAGGGCGGGACACGUGGUAUCCUGUCUGAAUAUGGGGGGACCAUCCUCCAAGGCUAAAUACUCCUGACUGACCGAUAGUGAACCAGUACCGUGAGGGAAAGGCGAAAAGAACCCCGGCGAGGGGAGUGAAAAAGAACCUGAAACCGUGUACGUACAAGCAGUGGGAGCACGCUUAGGCGUGUGACUGCGUACCUUUUGUAUAAUGGGUCAGCGACUUAUAUUCUGUAGCAAGGUUAACCGAAUAGGGGAGCCGAAGGGAAACCGAGUCUUAACUGGGCGUUAAGUUGCAGGGUAUAGACCCGAAACCCGGUGAUCUAGCCAUGGGCAGGUUGAAGGUUGGGUAACACUAACUGGAGGACCGAACCGACUAAUGUUGAAAAAUUAGCGGAUGACUUGUGGCUGGGGGUGAAAGGCCAAUCAAACCGGGAGAUAGCUGGUUCUCCCCGAAAGCUAUUUAGGUAGCGCCUCGUGAAUUCAUCUCCGGGGGUAGAGCACUGUUUCGGCAAGGGGGUCAUCCCGACUUACCAACCCGAUGCAAACUGCGAAUACCGGAGAAUGUUAUCACGGGAGACACACGGCGGGUGCUAACGUCCGUCGUGAAGAGGGAAACAACCCAGACCGCCAGCUAAGGUCCCAAAGUCAUGGUUAAGUGGGAAACGAUGUGGGAAGGCCCAGACAGCCAGGAUGUUGGCUUAGAAGCAGCCAUCAUUUAAAGAAAGCGUAAUAGC